CUGUGUAAUGUAAUAACGGAGAUUUUACAGGCCAUUUAGAGUGUGUAAACUCUGUUAUUUAAUGUAAUAACGGAGGCUCUACAGGCCAUGUUGAGUGUGUAAAUUCUGUUAUUUAAUGUUUAGGAGCAGAGGUGCUGAUAGAAGGUCUACUGUUUCCUAUUGUCUUCUGCAGGCGUCAAGCUACCCACCUUCCCUACUGAAUCAAGCAUGCUGCAGCCCAUUGAGGACACCAACAUGUUGCACAAUACUUCCCAUGAAGAUGGCCCCAUGUCUGACCAAGUGGUGCGUGCGGACAGCCCCCAG